UGGAGGUAAGUUAAAAUGCUGUGUUUUUUUUCCUCUCCCUGUUCAAUUUCACUCGGAAGAUGAUCCCACGAGAAGCAGUGCCCAUGCACUGUAGCACGUACGUGAUAUGGAGAACGCCCUGUGAGCCGCAGGUUAUGAUCUGAAGCUCCAGGAAGAAUUUGCCGUAACAUGAGACGAAUUUGUGUCGAAAGGAUUGAACUUGGUUUGUGAGCUUUCUUAAGAGCUUUUAGCACGAUUUCAGUGAAAAGAAGUGAAGAUUGAGAUGAUCAAAAAAAGAAAGAAAAAGAAUAGAUGGUAUUGGAAGGGCUUAUUUAUGUUGAGAAGCGUGUUUAAGAUGUUUUCACAAGGCGGGGAGCUCGAGAAGAGCGUGUGGGAACUUGUCGUGGGGCUGCUUCAUCUAGUUAGGUAAAAUAAUCAUCCUAAAUUAAGAAGAAUAAUUCUCUAUGGGUUUUCAUGCGAUUCCAAGUUUGACAUUACUGCUUUUAUAAUUUCCUACAUAUUGUGGAUGAAUAACUGCAAUGAAUACAUGAAUGUAAAUUGAUCGCCCUUACAAUACAUAUAAUUUUACUAUGUAUGAAACUGACGAAUACACUUAUGAAAUCAUUUCCUGCAGGCAUUUGAUUGUUAUGAUUCAUGCCUACGAUAUAUGAAAUGAUUGAUAAAUGUUAAUUACAAGAAUUAUGCUUAUAAAAGUGAUGUUAUAUGUAGACAAUUACAGGAGUAUUUGCAAGUACAAAUGAUAGGGAUGUGAGAUUCUUGACUUCUAAUAUUUAGGUGGUGAUGAAACUUUGGAAACCAUUAUGAUCAAACCGUGAACGUACAGAACUAUUAGUAUGAGGGGGCUGUUGAUGACUACUAUAUUUGGAGAGAAGAACCUUUACCAAUUAUUAAUAUGGUCUUUGGUACAGGACGACGACUCGUAAUAUAAUAGGACACGAAAAUAAUUGAUGAUUAUACAUUGCACAAAUUAUAUUGCUAUGAUGCUAUGAUUAUAUGGCUAUGUUGACAUUGCUAUGGCGACUUUGUUAUGAUUAUGAACAUGUUUAUGAAUACAUGCUUAUGACUACACAUGAAUGAAAUGACAUACAUGUUUUAUACAAAAUGCAUGAUUUUCUACACUACAUGUAUUUCUUUUAUGCGUUUUAUGAUGAUAUCCCAAUUGAAGUGUGCAAAUAUUUGGGAA